UACAGAGGUCCCAAGCGUUGUUCGGAUUCACUGGGCGUAAAGGGUGCGUAGGUGGUGAGGUAAGUCGGAUGUGAAAGCUCGGAGCUCAACUCCGAAAUGGCAUUGGAAACUACCUUGCUCGAGGGUUGGAGGGGGGACUGGAAUACUUGGUGUAGCAGUGAAAUGCGUAGAUAUCAAGUGGAACACCAGUGGCGAAGGCGAGUCCCUGGACAACUCCUGACACUGGGGCACGAAAGCUAGGGGAGCAAACAGG
rnacentral:rRNA from 1 species